AGCGAACGCUGGCGGCAGGCUUAACACAUGCAAGUCGAGCGGGCGUAGCAAUACGUCAGCGGCAGACGGGUGAGUAACGCGUGGGAACGUACCUUUUGGUUCGGAACAACACAGGGAAACUUGUGCUAAUACCGGAUAAGCCCUUACGGGGAAAGAUUUAUCGCCGAAAGAUCGGCCCGCGUCUGAUUAGCUAGUUGGUGAGGUAACGGCUCACCAAGGCGACGAUCAGUAGCUGGUCUGAGAGGAUGAUCAGCCACAUUGGGACUGAGACACGGCCCAAACUCCUACGGGAGGCAGCAGUGGGGAAUAUUGGACAAUGGGGGCAACCCUGAUCCAGCCAUGCCGCGUGAGUGAUGAAGGCCCGUAGGGUUGUAAAGCUCUUUUGUGCGGGAAGAUAAUGACGGUACCGCAAGAAUAACGCCCCGGACUAACUUCGUGCCAGCAGCCGACGGUAAAGUCGAUAUCG
rnacentral:rRNA from 1 species